rnacentral:hammerhead_ribozyme from 1 species
AUUCAGCUGACAAGUCUCAAGUAGGACGAAACGCACUUCCCGGAU